UCGGCUCCGGUUCACGUACGAGCAAUCCGCGCGUGCGACCCGGCGCC
rnacentral:ncRNA from 1 species